rnacentral:rRNA from 1 species
GACGAACGCUGGCGGCGUGCUUAACACAUGCAAGUCGAACGAUGAACCCGGAGCUUGCUCCGGUGGAUUAGUGGCGAACGGGUGAGUAACACGUGAGUAACCUGCCCUUGACUCUGGGAUAACUGCGGGAAACUGUAGCUAAUACCGGAUACGACCCUCGGCGGCAUCGCCAGGGGGUGGAAAGAAUUUCGGUCAAGGAUGGACUCGCGGCCUAUCAGCUAGUUGGUGAGGUAACGGCUCACCAAGGCGACGACGGGUAGCCGGCCUGAGAGGGCGGACGGCCACACUGGGACUGAGACACGGCCCAGACUCCUACGGGAGGCAGCAGUGGGGAAUCUUCCGCAAUGGACGAAAGUCUGACGGAGCAACGCCGCGUGAGUGAUGAAGGCUUUCGGGUUGUAAACCUCUUUUAGCAGGGAAGAAGCGAAAGUGACGGUACCUGCAGAAAAAGCACCGGCUAACUACGUGCCAGCAGCCGCCGUAA